GCGCAUGCGUGCGCGCGCGAGCCCUCCCGGAGUGAGGCCUCCUCCUCUUCUUCCUCGUCCUCCUCCUCUCUUCUGCUCGGCCUCUCUCCGCGCCUGCCUGCGUGUCUGUGGCCCGGCCCUGAGGGUGCCUCCUCCGCGGCCUCCCCUCCUCAGUCGCUCCCCUCCUCAGCGCGAUGGCGGCGGCGGCGGCGGCGGCGGCAGCAGCGGCGGCAGAACCCGGCCAUAACGGCCGGUAUCAGCAGUUGCAGAAUGAGGAGAAUCUGGAAGUUACAAAUGAUUUUCCACCACCUUACAGCAGCAUUUCUGGAGAAAACUCAGUGUACUUUGACUACAAAGAUGAGGCUGGGUUUCCAAAUCCCCCUUCUUAUAAUGUAGCCACAACACUGCCCUCAUAUGAUGAGGCUGAGAGAACUAAGGCAGAAGCCACAAUUCCCUUAGUUCCUGGAAGGGAAGAUGACUUUGUGGCACGGGAUGAUUUUGAUGAUACUGACCAGCUGAGGAUAGGAAAUGAUGGCAUUUUCAUGCUAACCUUCUUCAUGGCAUUCCUUUUCAACUGGAUUGGAUUCUUCCUCUCUUUCUGCUUGACUACUUCAGCAGCAGGAAGAUAUGGGGCCAUAUCUGGAUUUGGCCUGUCUCUCAUUAAGUGGAUCCUGAUUGUCAGGUUCUCCACUUAUUUCCCUGGAUACUUUGAUGGCCAGUACUGGUUGUGGUGGGUGUUCCUUGUAUUAGGCUUCCUCCUGUUUCUCAGAGGAUUUAUCAAUUAUGCAAAAGUUCGAAAGAUGCCAGACACAUUUUCUACUCUCCCCAGGACUAGAGUUCUGUUUAUUUACUAAAGAUGAAGUGUGAAGCAGAGCAGUGAGAUCAGAAUAAAAGAUGGCCAUAGAAGUCAGACAGAUGUUUUCUGGCAAUGUUUUCCUGCAUUAAUGAAUCCUCCCUCAACUAGUUAAGUGAACAUCUGCAGGAUAGAAAUCAAGACUGAACACAAGAAGAAGAAAAAUAAUCACCUGCUUUAAAAUAAAUAAAGUACUGUUGAAAAAUAAAAGGAAGCAUUUCUUUCUAUUUGUUUCUAGAUGUAAAAUUUUAAUAGUUUAAUGCAAAACUCCUGUUAUCAUUGAAUCAUUAGUGGCUAAUGUUUGAAACGGCUCUUGCAAUCAAGUAUGUGAUGUUACUAAUAAUGCCUUAUAUAGUAUUUGUAGUCCUUUGAAUAGCAUGAGCUAUAGCCCUCUAGCCAGGAGGGGUCAGUCUUGCUUUUUGUUCUCCUUCCUAAAAAUGAACUUGGAAUAUGUUUUCUUAGUGUAAGAUAUGUAAUGAUGCUGGCCAUUGUGAAGGGGUGUUCUUGGAAUGAUAGAAACUUGUUUUGACUGUGUUUCUGCACAUAUGUAUCUGUUGUUAAAAUAAAAUGAGAACAACUUGGAAGUCAAACAUACAUGCACAAUGUGGAUGUUUUUAAGAGAAUAUUGAUAGGAAGAUGGUAUACAAGUGUUAAUUGCUGGUAAUAUGUAUUCAGUAUUUCUUAUGCUUGUACUGCACACAGUUUGGAUAGGGAUUCUCACGGCGUAUGUCAGUGACAUCGAAUUGAAAUAAUUUGAUAAUGCAGCGUAUAUGUAAAAGCAGAUCUUCAUUUUUGUUGACUGGUACUUUUACGAUUGACUCUAACAUACCUGUACUUUCAUUUCUAACUUCUGGUGCAUUUAAAUAUAGAAUAACAUAAACUUAUGAUUUCUGCAAAGCAGUAAUUCAGAAUUUUAUUAUGUUAAAAAUGUAAAUAUAGCAGAAUAUUAAUAAAUGUCACUUAUAUUA